rnacentral:rRNA from 1 species
GACGAACGCUGGCGGCGGGCUUAACACAUGCAAGUCGAACGAAGUGGCGAACGGGUGAGAGAUACGUGGGGAACCUGCCCUCCUUUGGGGGAUAAGCCUUGGAAACGGGGUAUAAUACCGGAUAUAGGGUGAUGGGCUCUGGGCUUAUCAGCUUGUUGGUGGGGUGCUGGACUACCACGGCGGUGACGGGUAGCCGGCAUGAGAGGUUGCACGGCAACAGUGGGACGGGGAGACGGCCCAGACGCCGACGGGAGGGAGAAGUGGGGGAUAUUGCAGAAUGGGCGAAAGACUGAUGCAGCGACGCUGAGUGGGGGAUGAGGGCUUUAGGGUUGUAUACCUCUUUCGCUAUCGAACGGGUAGGUGGAGAAGAAGCGCCGGCUAACUACGUGCCAGCAGCCGCGGUAAUAC